UUUAAAUCAAGACUGAAUAGUGUUCCAUG
rnacentral:piRNA from 1 species